GGUCUUACGAAUUAUAAUUUAAGAUUUAACCUGCUCAAUGUAUAAUAAAUGGCCGCGGUAUUUUGACCGUGCGAAGGUAGCAUAAUAAUUAGGCUAUUAAUUGUAGUCUUGUAUGAAAGGUUGGACGUAGGGGGAUCUUUCUUGCUUGUAUAGUUGAAUUUUAAUUACCAGUAAAAAUGCUGGUAUGAAAUAAAAAGACGAGAAGACCCUAUUGAGUUUUAUAUUUGUAUUGAUUUUUUAUUUGUUGAUUGAUUUAAUAUGUAAUAUUUGAUUGGGGCGAUUAUUUUGAUAAAACACUAUGUAUAUGAGAUAUUAAUUAUUUGAUCCAUUAAUAAUGAUUGACAGAAUAAAUUACCAUAGGGAUAACAGCAUUAUUUAAUUGGAGAGUUCCUAUUGAUAAUUAAGUUUGUGACCUCGAUGUUGGAUUAAGAUUCCUUUUAGGUGUAGAUGUUUAAAGAGGUAGACUGUUCGUCUAUUAAAAUCUUACA
rnacentral:rRNA from 1 species